UACGUAGGGACCGAGCGUUGUCCGGAAUCAUUGGGCGUAAAGAGCGUGUAGGCGGCCUUUUAAGUCCUGCGUGAAAUCCUGCGGCUCAACCGCAGACGGUCGUGGGAAACUGGAAGGCUAGAGUGCGGGAGAGGAGAGUGGAAUUCCGCGUGUAGCAGUGAAAUGCGUAGAGAUGCGGAGGAACACCGAUGGCGAAGGCAGCCCCCUGGGCUGACACUGACGCUCAGGCACGAAAGCGUGGGGAGCAAACAGG
rnacentral:rRNA from 1 species